UCUAGCUGCUGUAUCGCCCUGCAACUCGCAACUGGCUGCUCAGCAGGUGUGAGCCUGGUCAGUACCUGGAUGGGAGACCUCCUGGGGAAAAACUAAGGUUGCUGCUGGAA
rnacentral:rRNA from 1 species